GACGUAGGGGGCGAGCGUUGUCCGGAUUCAUUGGGCGUAAAGAGCGUGUAGGCGGUCCGGUAAGUCCGCUGUGAAAGUCGGGGGCUCAACCCUCGAAUGCCGGUGGAUACUGUCGGGCUAGAGUGCGGAAGAGGCGAGUGGAAUUCCUGGUGUAGCGGUGAAAUGCGCAGAUAUCAGGAGGAACACCGGUGGCGAAGGCGGCACUUCUGGGCCGGUACUGACGGCUGAGGAGCGAAAGCGUGGGGAGCGAACGG
rnacentral:rRNA from 1 species